GGUUAGAACCCUUUGCCAUUUCAAGGGUUACACCUCCACUUUCUCAACAACAACUUCGCACACAAGAGAUACAAUUAAACCCUCUAUUGAUCGAGGUUUCCCCUUCACGCCUCUUUCUCUCUCCUCCUAUACAUACGACGCACAGUGCCCGUAUAUAUCUAUUGUUUUGUACAGUGCCAGACCCGCUGGAUGUGCAAGCGUGCGCUGCGUUGACGGAGGACUAGAUGGCGAGUAUUAGAUCGAGCUUGCCGUCGAGGCUUCGGCAACUCCUCUCUAGUGAAGGGGCAAUCGGCCCCUCUCUUAAACUUGACGCAGAGCCUUUGUAGUAUCAGGAUGAGGGAUUGGAUUGAGGUUUGGUGAUAAGUUGGAUUUUAAUUUGAAGUAACACAUUAGGUCAUUUAUUUGUUAAAUUUAGUGGAUGGGGUUUGGAAGGA